UGGGGAAUAUUGGACAAUGGGCGAAAGCCUGAUCCAGCCAUGCCGCGUGUGUGAAGAAGGUCUUCGGAUUGUAAAGCACUUUAAGUUGGGAGGAAGGGCAGUUACCUAAUACGUAUCUGUUUUGACGUUACCGACAGAAUAAGCACCGGCUAACUCUGUGCCAGCAGCCGCGGUAAUACAGAGGGUGCAAGCGUUAAUCGGAAUUACUGGGCGUAAAGCGCGCGUAGGUGGUUAGUUAAGUUGGAUGUGAAAUCCCCGGGCUCAACCUGGGAACUGCAUUCAAAACUGACUGACUAGAGUAUGGUAGAGGGUGGUGGAAUUUCCUGUGUAGCGGUGAAAUGCGUAGAUAUAGGAAGGAACACCAGUGGCGAAGGCGACCACCUGGACUGAUACUGACACUGAGGUGCGAAAGCGUGGGGAGCAAACAGGAUUAGAUACCCCAGUAGUCCCUGAGCGGGCUGGCAAGGCGCAU
rnacentral:rRNA from 1 species